GGCUCGUUCGUCUAGGGGUCAGGACGCUGGAUUUUGACUGAGAAAUUCCAGAAGCACCAGUUCGAAUCUGGUACGAGCCU